GGGUAACGCUACUUUUAAGCAGCUUUGAUAACUGUUUUUGAUAAAGGAAGUAAAUCUUAAUAAGAGGAAGAAAAGAGGACUAAUUUUUGGUUGGCUGUUCCUAAAAAAAGAGCAUCCGUUCUUCAACUGUUGUUUUUCGUAUUGAACAACAUCCAAGUGCAGGUGCCUUCUCCAAGAGAGGCAGCAGGGAGGGAGAAAUGGCAAGGAGGUUGCUGCCAGGCCAUGUACAGGAGUCCGUGACGUUCAGGGAUGUGGCCGUGUUCUUCAGCCAGGACGAGUGGUUGCACCUGGACUCUGCCCAGAGAGCCUUGUACCGGGAGGUGAUGCUGGAGAACUACAGCAUCCUGGUCUCACUGGGUA
rnacentral:lncRNA from 1 species